GCCUGGCUAGCUCAGGUGGUAGAGCAUGAGACUCUCAAUCUCAGGGUUGUGAGUUCAAGCCCCAUGUUGGGUA